UCCUGGUUAGCUUAGUCGGUAGAGCGCUCCACUGGAAAUGGAGAGGCCCCUGGUUCGAUACCAGGACCAGGGA
rnacentral:tRNA from 1 species